GGAAUCUUCCACAAUGGACGAAAGUCUGAUGGAGCAACGCCGCGUGAGUGAAGAAGGUUUUCGGAUCGUAAAACUCUGUUGUUGGAGAAGAACACGUUUGAGAGUAACUGUUCAGACGUUGACGGUAUCCAACCAGAAAGCCACGGCUAACUACGUGCCAGCAGCCGCGGUAAUACGGAGGAUGCGAGCGUUAUCCGGAUUUAUUGGGUUUAAAGGGAGCGCAGGCUGAUGAUUAAGCGUGACGUGAAAUGUAGCCGCUCAACGGCUGAACUGCGUCGCGAACUGGUUAUCUUGAGUGAGUUCGAUGUUGGCGGAAUUCGUGGUGUAGCGGUGAAAUGCUUAGAUAUCACGAAGAACUCCGAUUGCGAAGGCAGCCAACAAGGCCUUUACUGACGCUAAAGCUCGAAGGUGCGGGUAUCGAACA
rnacentral:rRNA from 1 species